UGGGGAAUAUUGGACAAUGGGCGCAAGCCUGAUCCAGCAAUGCCGCGUGGGUGAAGACGGCCUGCGGGUUGUAAAGCCCUUUAGGCGGGGAGGAACGGUCGGGUGCCAAUACCACCCGGCGCUGACGUUACCCGCAGAAUAAGCACCGGCUAACUCCGUGCCAGCAGCCGCGGUAAUACGGAGGGUGCGAGCGUUAAUCGGAAUUACUGGGCGUAAAGCGUGCGUAGGCGGUAGCGUCAGUCAGCCGUGAAAGCCCCGGGCUUAACCUGGGAACGGCGGUUGAGACGGCGCAACUCGAGUGGGCUAGAGGAUCGUGGAAUUCCGGGUGUAGCGGUGAAAUGCGUAGAGAUCCGGAGGAACACCGAUGGCGAAGGCAGCGGUCUGGGGCCACACUGACGCUGAGGCACGACAGCGUGGGGAGCAAACAGG
rnacentral:rRNA from 1 species